rnacentral:rRNA from 1 species
CCUCGGGGGGCAGCAGUGGGGAAUAUUGGACAAUGGGCGAAAGCCUGAUCCAGCCAUGCCGCGUGUGUGAAGAAGGCCUUCGGGUUGUAAAGCACUUUCAGUGGGGAAGAAAGCCUUGGGGCUAAUACCCUCGAGGAAGGACAUCACCCACAGAAGAAGCACCGGCUAACUCCGUGCCAGCAGCCGCGGUAAUACGGAGGGUGCGAGCGUUAAUCGGAAUUACUGGGCGUAAAGCGCGCGUAGGCGGUCUGAUAAGCCGGUUGUGAAAGCCCCGGGCUCAACCUGGGAACGGCAUCCGGAACUGUCAGGCUAGAGUGCAGGAGAGGAAGGUAGAAUUCCCGGUGUAGCGGUGAAAUGCGUAGAGAUCGGGAGGAAUACCAGUGGCGAAGGCGGCCUUCUGGACUGACACUGACGCUGAGGUGCGAAAGCGUGGGUAGCAAACAGGAUUAGAUACCCCUGUAGUC